rnacentral:rRNA from 1 species
CCUACGGGUGGCAGCAGUGGGGAAUAUUGCGCAAUGGGCGAAAGCCUGACGCAGCGACGCCGCGUGAGGGAUGAAGGUCUUCGGAUCGUAAACCUCUGUCAGCAGGGAAGAACAGUCACGGUGCUAAUCAGCAGUGAAUUGACGGUACCUGCAAAGGAAGCACCGGCUAACUCCGUGCCAGCAGCCGCGGUAAUACGGAGGGUGCGAGCGUUAAUUGGAAUUACUGGGCGUAAAGCGCUCGUAGGCGGUAUGGCAAGUCAAGGGUGAAAGCCCCGGGCUCAACGUGGGAACUGCCUUUGAAACUGGCAAACUGGAGUGUGUGAGAGGAUAGUGGAAUUCCAGGUGUAGGAGUGAAAUCCGUAGAUAUCUGGAGGAACAUCAGUGGCGAAGGCGACUAUCUGGCACAUAACUGACGCUGAGGAGCGAAAGCGUGGGUAGCAAACAGGAUUAGAUACCCCAGUAGUC